UUUGUCGAGACAAAUUUUGUUCGAAUUCUUUCUUCUCUCGACGGCGACAACGGCCACCCCAGUUGAGCCGAUUCCAAAUCCAUGGCCACACCAGUUCCACGCGCUAAUGUUUAUGAAUUACUCCGGCGAUCAGCUUGAGCAAAUCAACUCUAUGGCUCCCAUCAAAAACACCAAAUUCGGAGAUGUUGAUAUGGAUUUUGUCUUAGGGAUUGGAGGUUAUGAUCUUGAGAGAAUUGAUUCAGAAGUCAAUGUAGAUGGCUUGAGUUGUGCAGAGGAUCAUCAUCAUCAUCACCAUCAAUGCAGUCAUGGUAUAUAGA